AACUAUAUAGUGUAAAAAAGCACCACUGGUUGCAAACCAGUAAGUGGAUAUACUCUCCUGUAGUUU
rnacentral:tRNA from 1 species